UUUGAAACCUUUCUUACUCUUUCUUCGUCUCUGACUCUUCUCUCCAUCGCCAUCGUUUCCACUCUCUCCAAAUCUCCGUUACUAUGAAAUAAUCACCCACUGUAAAUGAUUGAUUCCUGCUCUUUACACCUUCAUUUAUACGAGAUGUAUCUUUCCACCUCCCUUUUGUUUUUCUCCUAUAUAAUCCCUUUCUCUAAAACACUUCUUAGAAACGCCAACCUAAUCAAUUUAGCAGCAGCAAGCCCUCCAAAACCGACUCCUCUUCACCUUCAUCGUUCUCAUACGAGAAAUACAGGAAACGUCCAGAUCAACAGGGAAGGCACCGGCGGCUCUGUUCUUCGAUGACACCUCUGGAUUAAAUAGUCUGAGUUGCGAUUCCGUUUCAUUACUGGAAAGCAAUUACCAAUCAGAGAAGAUUGUGAGAAUCCAUAUGUAGCUUCAGACUUCUCAUUCACGCCACUUCCAGUGAUAAAUGGAGAAGACUAUGUCUGUCUUUGUUUCCUUUCCUCCAAGCACCGAGUAUGAUAAAUGUUACUAAUUUCUUAGUGCGUGUGUGUUUGAUAUUCUCAAAGAUGAUAUCUCAGAUUCUAUUGCCUUUGGAUCACACAGCAAUAUCAAAAUCUGGUGGAAGUGGUUGACAAUUGGAUAUGCUUAUCUUGGAUACAUUAUAGAAGGUAGCACAGAUCAUCCUUAUUCAUUAUACGUUUGAAUUUUCUUGUGUUACUGUAUGCUGAUGUUUUCAAAUUCUUUCUUUCAUUGUGACUGCAACAAGAUCCCACAACACCCCGACGCUAGAGACAAUAAAAUGACAGUGUCCUUUGCUUAGAUGAUAUACGUACCGUGCAACCGUUCAGUCCUACCAAUGAUAUAGAUCUUACUCCAAUUUUCGUAAGCCAAUAUGCUAUGGAUAG